AUGGGUGCUGCAACUGGGCUAGAAUUCCUCCACGAGAAGACACAGCCUUGCGCUGUCCACAAUGGCAUCAAAUCCAGCAACAUAUUUCUCUUUGACAGCGACGUUGCGAAAAUUGGUUGGCCUGAUGUUUCCAGACGGCAGCCCCCUAUAGACAAUAUCUUUUUGGAUCGUAUUAACUUUACUACCUGUUACGGUUAUGAUGCGCCUGAGUAUGUAAUGAAGGAACAACUUUCUACAAUGAGUGAUGUCUACAGCUUUGGGGUCGUGCUGCUGGAACUUCUAACCGGUCGAAAGGCAAUUGAUCAUACACUACCGUGUGGCCAACAAUCCCUCGUGAUGUGGGCUACACCAAGACUUUCUGAAUGCAAGGUGCAAGAAUGCGUGGAUCCGAGGAUGGGAGGAGAUUACCCUCCUAAGGCUGUCGCUAAGAUGGCUGCAACCGCGGCGCUUUGCGUACAGUACGAGGCGGACUUCCGGCCACGAAUGAGUGUCGUCGUCCAGGCUCUGAGGACUUUUUGUGCCGAUACUGAAGCACAUCUGGAGUCUGAGGCAUCGUCUAAGCAGUGA
rnacentral:rRNA from 1 species